UGUGUGCGUUUACAAGAUCACUGCCACUUGAGGAACAAAGAAGGUGCACACUAGGAGAACUCGCCUGCCACUCGCUCUAAUUGACAGCCAGUGAGGCGUUUCUGCAAUUAUUUUUAAAAGUCACAAUUUCAAAUAGAAAUCAGCACUUUUAGAAACUGCAAUUAAAAUGAGCAUAUACUCAGACAUAAAGCACUUCAGCUUAUAUGUGUUUGGAGGGAUCCUAUAAUAGAUAUAUUAAAAGGCAGAAAUAUUUGUAUAGUUCCAGCUCACAAAGUAUCAUUUUUAGCAGUAAUCUUUAAAUCUUUGUUCAAGUGAAAGCAGUUUUUCAGACUCAGUAUAAAAUACCAGCCCUGGAUUCUAACUCUCCUUAAUUUCAUAAUUAACGUCUUUGUCAUAAAAAUAUCAAAUGCAUGCUGACGUUUACACCAUGUGACCCAGCAAGCAUUGUUACUUUAGCAUGCCCUGACAAUUAAAAUGUACAAUUUUAACGUAUAGAUUCCGAGUCACUUUGCCUCCUGUACAAAGUUCAGAAACUGAACAUUUAUUAUUUUACAUCAGUUUGAAUAAAAAUGAUUUAUUCUA